rnacentral:rRNA from 1 species
UGCAGUCGAGCGCGGGAAGCAGACUGAAUCCUUCGGGAGGACGUCUGUGGAACGAGCGGCGGACGGGUGAGUAACACGUGGGUAACCUGCCUGUAAGACUGGGAUAACUCCGGGAAACCGGGGCUAAUACCGGAUAACACAUCGGAUCGCAUGAUCCGAUGAUGAAAGAUGGCUUCUUGCUAUCACUUACAGAUGGACCCGCGGCGCAUUAGCUAGUUGGUGGGGUAACGGCCUACCAAGGCAACGAUGCGUAGCCGACCUGAGAGGGUGAUCGGCCACACUGGGACUGAGACACGGCCCAGACUCCUACGGGAGGCAGCAGUAGGGAAUCAUCCGCAAUGGACGAAAGUCUGACGGUGCAACGCCGCGUGAGUGAGGAAGGUCUUCGGAUCGUAAAACUCUGUUGUUAGGGAAGAACAAGUCCCGUUCGAAUAGGGCGGAGCCUUGACGGUACCUAACCAGAAAGCCACGGCUAACUACGUGCCAGCAGCCGCGGUAAUACGUAGGUGGCAAGCGUUGUCCGGAAUUAUUGGGCGUAAAGCGCGCGCAGGCGGUUCCUUAAGUCUGAUGUGAAAGCCCACGGCUCAACCGUGGAGGGUCAUUGGAAACUGGGGAACUUGAGUA